rfam:Heterocephalus glaber contig234280, whole genome shotgun sequence.
GGAUGUGAGGGUGAUCUAGCUGAGACAUCUGUCUCCUCAUCAAUUGCCAGAGUUGAUUCUGCUGAUCUGGCUGGCCCGGCGGUAUCCCCUUCCUCCCCCACUGCUCCAUGUGCGUCCUUCCCAAAGGUGAGUGCUUGGUGGAAGAGGACAAUCACCCCCAAUAGAGGAGGACCGUUUCCCGGGUCGAGGGCAUACGAGUAGCUGCACUCCCCUGCUAGAACCUCUAAACAAGCUCUCAAAUUUAUUCAAUACAUGAAUAGACUCGGGGCCAGGGAUUUAGCUCAGCUACACCCUGCCUGCCUUGAAAGCG